rnacentral:rRNA from 1 species
UAGAUACCCCACUAUGCCUAGCCCUAAAUCUAGAUACCUCCCAUCACACAUGUAUCCGCCUGAGAACUACGAGCACAAACGCUUAAAACUCUAAGGACUUGGCGGUGCCCCAAACCCACCUAGAGGAGCCUGUUCUAUAAUCGAUAAUCCACGAUUCACCCAACCACCCCUUGCCAGCACAGCCUACAUACCGCCGUCGCCAGCCCACCUCUAAUGAAAGAACAACAGUGAGCUCAAUAGCCCCUCGCUAAUAAGACAGGUCAAGGUAUAGCCUAUGGGGUGGGAGAAAUGGGCUACAUUUUCUAACAUAGAACAAACGAAAAAGGACGUGAAACCCGCCCUUAGAAGGAGGAUUUAGCAGUAAAGUGAGAUCAUACCCCCUAAGCUCACUUUAAGACGGCUCUGAGGCACGUACACACCGCCGG